CAGCCUUCUUGACAGAAGACAUCAUUGCCUGCCCUUCUGUGGGUUAACUACCUGGUGUAGAUGUAUUAAGAAGACUUUAAAUGUUUGCUUUGGAUGUUGAUACUGAGGGUGAAGAAGCUCUGACAUGGUCCAGAAAUGAAGCAAUCUAGUGAGCAGUGCCCUGUGUAAAGUCACCAGAUGGAAGGAAAUGGGGGGAACGAAAGGACUACACAAAGAUUGAAGAACAUAAUAGAAGAGAUUGCUGCUUUCUACAGAAAGAUGUGGAUGAGGCCAGAACUUGUUCAUUUGACUGCAGAGUUGCCAUCUCCUUGGGAAGUGUUGUGCUUGCGGAAUGAAGAUCUCUCACCGUGGAGCCCCAGGAAUUGACAGGAGCUUUUGUUCAGGUCUGGUCCCAGAAUUCCUCUCUUCUGUUAAUCCAAUUGGUGCUUGACCACUUGGGAUAGGAGAUUAAAAGCGUCCCAAUCUGUUCAUUGGUGAAAUAUCCUAGCCUGCUGGAACAAGAUAUCUAAAAAAAGUAAUUAAAACAGUAA